GCUCUAUGCGGGUGUGUAUGUGCGUGUGUGUGUGCGUAUUUGUUUGUGUGUGUGUCUAGUCCGUAUGUGUCCUUAUCGAUUUUCAGCGAAAUUUCACAGGCUCACGGCGCACGUCAGUGCCAAGCGAAGAUUCACUUGUCGCGCUGAGUUCGUUCGUGUCGUGUUUCGCACAGCACAGCAGCAGCGAGUAACAGAGUACCAGAGUACCGUUAUGUAAAGCGAUUUUCAGUUGAAAGUACACAUACAAUAAGUGAAACGCUGCUGUGAGCAAAACUAAACUAAGCUAAGCGCCACUCUCACGCACACCAACAUUCCAUAAUUUGUUAUAAAUUAAUUGGUUCAAGCAGCAUUGUGAUAAACGCAGCGAACGUGCAAGAAAAACGCGCUAAGAAAUCUACUUCACAAUACUUAACAAAAAGCUAAUCGAAACACGCUGUGCCCAACUGUGCCGUAACACGGGACAUUGAAAAUACGAAGAAGAAGCAGAAGCGAACGAAAAAAAAACGUUCCAGGUAGCAGGCGAAGGAGACAUGAAAAGCGAAGGCGCAAGCGAAGACGAACGAAAAUGUAAUAGAGGUCAAAAGAAGCAUUGAUUUAACGUGCACUUUCUUCUUCUGUUCCAUUUUCUUCAUAUGAUUCGCUUGCGGUUUCUGUGCGUGUGUAUGUGUGUGUGAAAGAGUCAAAUUGUGUUGCGUAAAGAAUUAGUUUAACAUUUAACGAACGCUAAACGGUUCAUUCAAUAAAAGCACGCACGCACACGGUGAAUCUCUGGCUAAACUGAGCACCAGUGGCAUAUAACACAGUUCAAUAUAACAGUAAAGACCAAGCAUAAUUACAUAAUCAAAUAGUAAAAAAAAUAGAAAAAAAAAAACGAAACGAAACGAAAACAAACGA